GAUGAACGCUGGCGGCGUGCCUAAUACAUGCAAGUCGAGCGAACGGACGAGAAGCUUGCUUCUCUGAUGUUAGCGGCGGACGGGUGAGUAACACGUGGAUAACCUACCUAUAAGACUGGGAUAACUUCGGGAAACCGGAGCUAAUACCGGAUAAUAAUUUGAACCGCAUGGUUCAAAAGUGAAAGACGGUCUUGCUGUCACUUAUAGAUGGAUCCGCGCUGCAUUAGCUAGUUGGUAAGGUAACGGCUUACCAAGGCAACGAUGCAUAGCCGACCUGAGAGGGUGAUCGGCCACACUGGAACUGAGACACGGUCCAGACUCCUACGGGAGGCAGCAGUAGGGAAUCUUCCGCAAUGGGCGAAUGCCUGACGGAGCAACGCCGCGUGAGUGAUGAAGGUCUUCGGAUCGUAAAACUCUGUUAUUAGGGAAGAACAUAUGUGUAAGUAACUGUGCACAUCUUGACGGUACCUAAUCAGAAAGCCACGGCUAACUACGUG
rnacentral:rRNA from 1 species